AACGAACGCUAGCGGGAUGCCUCAAACAUGCAAGUCGCACGAGAAAGUUUCUUCGGAAGCGAGUAAAGUGGCGCACGGGUGCGUAACACGUAGCUAAUGUACCCUUUCGCUGGGGACAACUCCGGGAAACCGGAGCUAAUACCGAAUGAACUGCCAGAAUCUGCGGAUUUUGUCGGUAAAGCCUUCGGGCGCGAAAGGAUCAGGCUGCGGCUCAUUAGUUUGAUGGUGGGGUAAUGGCCUACCAUGACUACGAUGAGUAGCUGGUCUGAGAGGAUGAUCAGCCACACUGGAACUGAAACACGGUCCAGACUCCCACGGGAGGCAGCAGUUGGGAAUAUUGGACAAUGGGAGGAAUCCUGAUCCAGCAAUCCCGCGUGAGUGAUGAAGGCUUUCGAGUCGUAAAGCUCUUUCAGUAGGGAAGAAAAGAAAUUGACGGUACCUACAAAAGAAGCACCGGCUAACUCCG
rnacentral:rRNA from 1 species